rnacentral:rRNA from 1 species
CUUCCGUAGGGGAACCUGCGGAGGGAUCAUUACUGAGUUACCGCUCUAUAACCCUUUGUGAACAUACCUAACCGUUGCUUCGGCGGGCAGGGGAAGCCUCUCGCGGGCCUCCCCUCCCGGCGCCGGCCCCCACCACGGGGACGGGGCGCCCGCCGGAGGAAACCAAACUCUAUUUACACGACGUCUCUUCUGAGUGGCACAAGCAAAUAAUUAAAACUUUUAACAACGGAUCUCUUGGUUCUGGCAUCGAUGAAGAACGCAGCGAAAUGCGAUAAGUAAUGUGAAUUGCAGAAUUCAGUGAAUCAUCGAAUCUUUGAACGCACAUUGCGCUCGCCAGCAUUCUGGCGAGCAUGCCUGUUCGAGCGUCAUUUCAACCCUCAAGCACCGCUUGGUUUUGGGGCCCCACGGCACACGUGGGCCCUUAAAGGUAGUGGCGGACCCUCCCGGAGCCUCCUUUGCGUAGUAACUAACGUCUCGCACUGGGAUCCGGAGGGACUCUUGCCGUAAAACCCCCCAAUUCUUUACAGGUUGACCUCGGAUCAGGUAGGAAUACCCGCUGAACUUAAGCAUAUCAAUAAGGCGGA